ensembl:lncRNA
AGCAUGGUCCCAGCUAGCAAAAAAUAUCCGCACGGCUUCUUUUUGCCGCCGGCCCUAAGCUGUCGGCUAUAGGUGCGUCCCGCUGGCGGGGAUGAAACGUUUGCCGCCGAAUACGUCACUCCCAUUUCUUGCGAGAUGCCGCCGGCGAAAAGCCGGCGGGCCGACUGCUUCAUUUUCUUUGGCGGUUGCCUCCGUCUAAUGGACCGCGGCCGGCUGGCGGCAAGCCGCUUUAAAAUACAAGGAUUUCUACUAAAAUCGACCAGCAGCCAAGGCUAUGUUUAGCAUGUUGGGAGUUAGAAUGGAAGUGGAACUGACAGCAUUUUAACUACUUUUCACAUCUGAAGCGAUUAUAAAAUCAUAAUAGCCUAUAUGUGAAUUAAAUCCCAUAUUAUUAUUAUUAUUAUCAUUAUUUUUAAAGCCAUUAGGGUUUAUUCUUGACUCUUGAUUCCAUGAUAAGGUAAGGUUUAGGAAAUGACAUUUAAAUUUAAAAUAGAUUUAAAAUAGAUAUUUAAUUCAUGGUAUAAACAAUUUAGCUGAAUAAAUUGAUGAAGUUAGACUUUUCACUAAUGCAUGGCUACAUCAGUGAACAGUGAAAGACAUCUGCAACAUGGCCAAAAUCUUGGGUAGGUCUAUACUUUAUAAUUUUUUAUUAAUUUGCAACCAUGGUAAUAGCCUAUCAUAAACAGGAAAAUGUCUGUUUUGACCUGAUAAGAAGGAUAAACUAAAAUCUAAAAGCUCCUCUGGUUUCACAGCUGCACUGGCAGAUUUAUGAAAUAUUUAGAAAUAUUUCGUCUUUCUGCCAUUCCAGGAAAUGUCAUUUUAUGUCUUUCAUUUUUUUUCAACCUCGAUUUAUUUUUUUAUUUUUUUUGACUUUUUACAUGUAUAAGGGAUUAAUUUGCAAUUGCGACCUGUACAAAUGUUUAAGACAGUGUCUUAAAAAAAAAUCUAAACACAUUAUAAAUGUUAGAAAUGUAUAGGUUUUCACCAUUGCUGUGUUCAGGAUUUUUUUUGGGCGGAGCUAAAACGGUGGCUCGAUGACGCACUGGAGCCACUGAGCUCCUGGCCCCUCCCCAAACAACAUAACUAGAGCACACAUUCGCAUCAGUUCGCCGCUCAAUCGCGAGUUUCUGUGGACUACCAUCGUUUAAAUACCUUGACCGGAGCAUAACUGGUUAACUUCACACAAGAGACCUACUGUUGGACAAUUGUUUUGGCUUUAAAGGAGAAAGUCAUCGCUCUGUAAUUGGCCCUUGGACUCCCCUGGCAUCUCGUGUACAGCAUGAAGUUUUCAGCUAUGAAGAUUUCCAGAGACUCCAGAAUUAAAAACAAGCCGUGAUGGAGGAGAACCAAGCCCUUAGGGAGGAGAACCAAGCCCUGAGGGAGGAGAACCAAGCCCUGAUGGAUGAGAACCAAGCCCUUAGGGAGGAGAACCAAGCUCUGAGGGAAAGCACUGCACGAGCAGCUUCGGAUGACAGCGGCUCACUUCAAGAGCAGGUGAAGCAAGUUGGGACAAUGUUGAAGACGUUUGCUCGCACUGGGCAAUCAGGUGCAGAUCAGACCUUAAUGCUGCGACGUCUUGGAGAGUUUGCCGAUGUUGUGCGAAGCAUGGACAACAAAAUGGACACUAUGCUGCAACAUUUCAGUGCCAAUGUGUCUGUUGGAGAGUUAUCCCUGCCAGGGGAUCUGUUACUCCCUCUAGACACCCAGGAAGAUUUGGCGUUGCUUGACAACAGUUUGAGGCAGGAUAAAGAGCUCCAGGAACGAUUUCUUCGGUUUUUGGCAAUCAAAUGUGGGAGGGACCUAUAAGACAACCGUCUGGCGGAUGCUUCAAAGUACCUUCUCUAAUCACCUUUCCAUCAAUACAACCUGGACUGGAGUUGGGGAUAAAGCAUGUUUUAGAGACAUGUUCCUGAAGACCAUUGUUCAAAGAGCCAUCCGGAAGAACCCGGCAACACAGGAUGCCACUGAUGAAGCCGUCCAGGUUAACGUUACGCGUUACCUGAAAGGAGCAUCUGACCGUGAAGGCGGAAAAAGGUGCCGCACAGCUGAGAGGGACCCACAGCCGACCCCUUAAACCUAGGCUGACUACUGACACCCCAGCAUCACUGACAACUGGAACCCUUUCUUUAUCCUGCAGUCAGUAACAUCAAGACCCCUAAAGAAGCCAGAAGUGUCAGACUGCACUCCCCAAUCCACACUGUUCACUGUGGAUAUUAUCAUAGUGCUUAACUCUUAUUAUAUUGUUAAAUAUAGCUUGUAAAUCCUUGUGCCACAGGUCAGCAUUGCAGUUAUAUCUGUUCUACUACUUUUUUUACCUCAGUAUUUUUUAUAUAUAUGUGAAGAUGUUUAUCACAGAUACAAGAGACAUCUUGUACCCCAGGUCAGCAAUGCCAAUAUAAUGGUCUAUUCUACUCCAGAGCUUUAUUCUAAAUUAUUACCACUUAUCUUAUUGUUAGAAAUGGCUUGUAAAUGUGAUGUUAUACCUGAAUUUUUUUUGGUGUCCUGCACAUUCUUUGGUACCAGAUAUACUCAUUACUUAUGUUUACUGGUAAUUCUUUUCAUCCCAGAGCUGACCUCUUUAUAUUAUUAACAAUUAUUGUAAGUGUUAUAAUUUGCUUGUAAGCUAAGGCUGUUUUUUUUUUUUUUAACAAUUUAAUUGGAAACCUGCAUGUUCUUUUGUGUGUGUGUGUAUAUAUUUUUUUCUCUUUUUUUCUGUUAUUUAUAUUUCAGGGAUCUGACAUCAUGUUUCAAUGACAGUUACUGUACUUUGAAAUGUGGAAUUAAAACGUCAAAUGGAAAUUUGUCUGGUUUGAUCAAUCAUUAUUCUUGAUAAACUGCAUGAUAUAUAUAUAUAUAUAAGCGGCGACCGAUCGCUCGAAAAUAGCGUUUGCCUCCGACGGGCCGCGGAAGGGUCGCCUUUGAUAUAACGGCGGCGGGACGGCGGUUGGCCCGCGGGCCGGCCGCGGAACGAAGGCGGUAGGAAGGCGGCUGCCGCUUCUAAAAAGCGGCUGCCGCCGGCGGUGCACCGUCAAACGUGUUUGCGAUUACGCCAUUCUGACGCUUCUACUGCCGCCGGAGCGCCGCCGGUGGUCCGCCGACUCAUUGCUAUCUGGGGUCUUUC